UACGGGGGGGAGCAAGCGUUGUUCGGAUUUACUGGGCGUAAAGGGCGCGUAGGCGGUCGUGACAAGUCACUUGUGAAAUCUCCGGGCUUAACUCGGAACGGUCAAGUGAUACUGUCGGACUAGAGUACAGAAGGGGCAACUGGAAUUCUCGGUGUAGCGGUGAAAUGCGUAGAUAUCGAGAGGAACACCUGCGGCGAAGGCGGGUUGCUGGGCUGAUACUGACGCUGAGGCGCGAAAGCUAGGGGGAGCAAACGGG
rnacentral:rRNA from 1 species